UACGUAGGGUGCGAGCGUUGUCCGGAAUUAUUGGGCGUAAAGAGCUCGUAGGCGGUCUGUCGCGUCUGCUGUGAAAACCCGAGGCUCAACCUCGGGCCUGCAGUGGGUACGGGCAGACUAGAGUGCGGUAGGGGAGAAUGGAAUUCCUGGUGUAGCGGUGGAAUGCGCAGAUAUCAGGAGGAACACCGAUGGCGAAGGCAGUUCUCUGGGCCGUAAUUGACGCUGAGGAGCGAAAGCGUGGGGAGCGAACAGG
rnacentral:rRNA from 1 species